UACCGCAUAAGCCUGCGGUGCCGCAUGGCACAGCAGGGAAAACCACGGUGGUACAGGAUGGGCCCGCGUCUGAUUAGUUAGUUGGCAGGGUAACGGCCUACCAAGACGAUGAUCAGUAGCCGGCUUGAGAGAGUGGACGGCCACAUUGGGACUGAGACACGGCCCAGACUCCUGCGGGAGGCAGCAGUGGGGAAUAUUGCACAAUGGGGGAAACCCUGAUGCAGCAAUGCCGCGUGGGUGAAGAAGCACUCCGGUGCGUAAAGCCCUGUCAGCAGGGAAGAAAAUGACAGUACCUGACCAAGAAGCCCCGGCUAACUACGUGCCAGCAGCCGCGGUAAUACGUAGGGGGCAAGCGUUAUCCGGAUUUACUGGGUGUAAAGGGAGCGCAGGCGGUAUGGCAAGUCAGAUGUGAAAACCCAGGGCUCAACCCUGGGACUGCAUUUGAAACUGCCAUACUGGAGUGCCGGAGAGGUAAGUGGAAUUCCUAGUGUAGCGGUGAAAUGCGUAGAUAUUAGGAGGAACACCAGUGGCGAAGGCGGCUUACUGGACGGUAACUGACGCUGAGGCUCGAAAGCGUGGGGAGCAAACAGGAUUAGAUACCCUGGUAGUCCACGCUGUAAACGAU
rnacentral:rRNA from 1 species